rnacentral:lncRNA from 1 species
ACCUAGUUGAACUUGAGAUUUUGAUCUAAAUCUUAUGUUGUUUUUCUGAAUAUCUUGGUGCUGUCCAUGAGGGGGGUAGACUAUUUUUAUUUAAGAAACUCUAUCAAAGAGCCUCCUGAAGCCACCAGCGUUCCAGCCGCUCUACAGAUACUAAUUCAGUUAACCCUCCUGACAAUGCUGGGAACAGCAGCAGAAACUACUCUAGUGCCCAGUUUGUAGAUAAGAAAGUUAAGUAACCUACUGCUCACCACUCUGUAAUGCCUAUAUGGGAAAAGAAUCUUAAAAAAGUAGUGGAGGUAUACCUGAAACUAACACAACAGUUAAAAUUAAAACAACAACAACAAAAUUACUCCAGAGUCCACCUGUCAGUUUGAAAAGGAUUGACAGUUGUAUCUGAGCAUUAUGUGCUCAGAUAUUGGUUUGACACCAAGGGCACAGACAAUACUACCCAACCCUUGGUAGCUUGGUGGCAAGACAUCCAAAUACCUGGAGUCUCAGCUUUCUGUUGCCAGCCUGUGUGUUACCCAAGAGUUAGAGCCACGUCUUACCUGCCUUCCUCUGCAGAGCACCCUGGCAGCAAAAAGGGAAAGCUGGCAUCUGUAGUAGCCCUUCUCUUUAGGUGACACAAAAAUGACCUCUUGUUAUCUUUUACUGACUCCACAGCUGCUAUAGUAUUCGGUUAGCCAUGGUUACGAACUGGGUUUUGUGCUCCGAUGGGGUGUUUAAGAAUGAGAGCAAGUUUCUUCAGUGUUGUCAGCCCCUAUCUCUCCCAUGGCCUGCCCUCAUCUCACCUCUCACCCCUCCAAAUCAAGGCAUGUCUGAGCUCGGUCUGCCCAGGACUGUUGAUGAGCUUUCGCUUCUGCUUUGUUUCUGAACUAACACGUGUUCUUCAGAACGGCUCGCACGGCCCCAUGGGAUUAUGACAGCUCUCAGCCGAGCUCUGCCAGCUAUUAAUAGAAAUACUAUGAGG